rnacentral:rRNA from 1 species
UGAAGCGGCAACAGCUCAAAUUUGAAAUCUGGCGCAAGCCCGAGUUGUAAUUUGCAGAGGAUGCUUUUGGUGCGGUGCCUUCUGAGUUCCCUGGAACGGGACGCCGGAGAGGGUGAGAGCCCCGUACAGUUGGACACCAAGCCUUUGUAAAGCUCCUUCGACGAGUCGAGUAGUUUGGGAAUGCUGCUCAAAAUGGGAGGUAAAUGCCUUCUAAAGCUAAAUACCGGCCAGAGACCGAUAGCGCACAAGUAGAGUGAUCGAAAGAUGAAAAGCACUUUGAAAAGAGGGUUAAAAAGUACGUGAAAUUGUUGAAAGGGAAGCGCUCGUGACCAGACUUGCGCCCGGCGGAUCAUCCGGCCUUCUGGCCGGUGCACUUCGCCGGGCUCAGGCCAGCAUCGGUUCUUCUGGGGGGACAAAAGCGGCGGGAACGUAGCUCCUCCGGGAGUGUUAUAGCCCGCCGCAGAAUACCCCCGGGGGGACCGAGGACCGCGCUUCGGCAAGGAUGCUGGCGUAAUGGUCACCAGCGACCCGUCUUGAAACACGGACCAAGGAGUCAAGCAUUAGGGCGAGUGUUUGGGUGUCAAACCCGCACGCGAAAUGAAAGUGAACGCAGGUGAGAGCUUCGGCGCAUCAUCGACCGAUCCUGAUGUUUUCGGAUGGAUUUGAGUAAGAGCCUUACCGCUUGGACCCGAAAGAUGGUGAACUAUGCUUGGAUAGGGUGAAGCCAGAGGAAACUCUGGUGGAGGCUCGCAGCGGUUCUGACGUGCAAAUCGAUCGUCU